rnacentral:rRNA from 1 species
UAAGUNUGAAGUUAAAGGCUGUGGCUCANCCAUAGUUCGCUUUGGAAACUGUCAAACUUGAGUGCAGAAGGGGAGAGUGGAAUUCCAUGUGUAGCGGUGAAAUGCGUAGAUAUAUGGAGGANCACUGGUGGCGAAAGCGGCUCUCUGGUCUGUAACUGACGCUGAGGCUCGAAAGCGUGGGGAGCGAACAGGAUUAGAUACCCUGGUAGUNCACGCCGUAAACGAUGAGUGCUAGGUGUUGGGUCCUUUCCGGGAUUCAGUGCCGCAGCUAACGCAUUAAGCACUCCGCCUGGGGAGUACGACCGCAAGGUUGAAACUCAAAGGAAUUGACGGGGGCCCGCACAAGCGGUGGAGCAUGUGGUUUAAUUCGAAGCAACGCGAAGAACCUUACCAGGUCUUGACAUCCCGAUGCUAUUCUUAGAGAUAGGAAGUUACUUCGGUACAUCGGAGACAGGUGGUGCAUGGUUGUCGUCAGCUCGUGUCGUGAGAUGUUGGGUUAAGUCCCGCAACGAGCGCAACCCUUAUUGUUAGUUGCCAUCAUUAAGUUGGGCACUCUAGCGAGACUGCCGGUAAUAAACCGGAGGAAGGUGGGGAUGACGUCAAAUCAUCAUGCCCCUUAUGACCUGGGCUACACACGUGCUACAAUGGUCGGUACAACGAGUUGCGAGCCGGUGACGGCAAGCUAAUCUCUGAAAGCCGAUCUCAGUUCGGAUUGGAGGCUGCAACUCGCCUCCAUGAAGUCGGAAUCGCUAGUAAUCGCGGACCAGCACGCCGCGGUGAAUACGUUCCCGGGCCUUGUACACACCGCCCGUCACACCACGAGAGUUUGUAACACCCGAAGUCGGUGAGGUAACCUUUUAGGGGCCAGCCG